ACAUGUGUCAGGUUUCUGCCUGUUUGCUCAGAUAUCACCAGACCUGUACUUUGGCUUGCCCAUCACAGAGUGCAUUGUGUUUGAUGCCAGGAAGGGAGGGGACAGCCUGCAGACAGAGGUGUGCUCAGGUUCUCUGACCCCACUGCGCAUCCCUGGAGGAUGAAAUCUCCUUUCAAAGACUCUUAUCCACUGGCUUGUUGUCCAUUGGACUCUGAAUCAUUCUCAUAUCCAGCCAGGAGACUUCAGCUACAAGUUCACAGCAUCAGCAUUCCUUGGAAAAUGGUCAACCAUGGAGGUAAGCUUCCUUCUCUACUCCCUUUUCUCUUCCACUUGGAACCAUGCUUUUUGC
ensembl:lncRNA